GGAGUUUGGUCCGUGUCUCAGUACCAAUGUGGGGGACCUUCCUCUCAGAACCCCUACUGAUCGUCGCCUCGGUGGGCCGUUACCCCGCCGACAAGCUAAUCAGACGCAUCCCCAUCCCGCAGCGAUGAAUCUUUGCUCCUCGUUAGAUGCCUGCAAAGGAGAACAUAGGGCAUUAAUCCGACUUUCGCCGGGCUGUUCCCUACUGCGGGGAAGGUUGGAUACGCGUUACUCACCCGUGCGCCGGUCGCCAUCAAAGUUUGCAAGCAAACUUCAUGCUGCCCCUCGACUUGCAUGUGUUAAGCCUGUAGCUAGCGUUCAUC
rnacentral:rRNA from 1 species